CUGAAAGAGGAUGAAAAACAAAUGAAAAUAAUGAAAAUCCCACUUUUAUUCAGAAGAUCUUCCAGCUGAUUAUUUUAAAACAGAUGGAUGUCAUAGAUGUUGAAGAUGAACGAGAUGUGUAUUCCUUACACAUUUCAAGAAUUGGAGAGAUCUACCAAACUUGACAAGUAGUGCAAAUGAGUGGUCCUGAGGCAGGCUGCUCUGGAUUAACCUGAAGAGCUUCAUUCAUGUGAUGAUAGGUGUGGUCUGUACCUUCCAUGUCCAUCUAUGUUGUCUGUUGAACCAAGAUUUCUUCCUGUCUUGCAAGAAAAACAAGGGGACAGGGACAGAUUUUUUCCCUUUGGUGCCACCUCUUUCUCAUCUGCUUAUUCAUCCCACCUGUUUGGAGAGCUGCUGCUCCCUGCAGAGAGAAGUCACUAAAGCUGAACUUUCAUCUGAACUCUCUGAAAGCUCUUCAUGGAGAAGCCCCCUGCCUUGCCAUGGGGUGUUGUCUUACCUCCUGUGGUCCCUCUACCAUUUCUCAGCCAGUUGUUUGGAGGAGGACUCAAUACCAUCUGCUGUUUUUUCCUAAUGGCAAGGAAAGAUCUUGAAUUGAAUUGAUCUUGAAUAAAGAUGUGGCUUUUUA